rnacentral:rRNA from 1 species
GACGAACGCUGGCGGCGUGCCUAAUACAUGCAAGUAGAACGCUGAAGGAGGAGCUUGCUUCUCUGGAUGAGUUGCGAACGGGUGAGUAACGCGUAGGUAACCUGCCUGGUAGCGGGGAUAACUAUUGGAAACGAUAGCUAAUACCGCAUAAUAGCAGUUGUUGCAUGACAACUGUUUGAAAGGUGCAAUUGCACCACUACCAGAUGGACCUGCGUUGUAUUAGCUAGUUGGUGGGGUAACGGCUCACCAAGGCGACGAUACAUAGCCGACCUGAGAGGGUGAUCGGCCACACUGGGACUGAGACACGGCCCAGACUCCUACGGGAGGCAGCAGUAGGGGAGCUUCGGCAAUGGACGGAAGUCUGACCGAGCAACGCCGCGGGAGUGAAGAAGGUUUUCGGAUCGUAAAGCUCUGUUGUAAGAGAAGAACGAGUGUGAGAGUGGAAAGUUCACACUGUGACGGUAGCUUACCAGAAAGGGACGGCUAACUACGUG